GCUUCUAGGUCUCACUGGGCUCUGCCUCCUGUGCCUACUGAGCUGAAACACAGUUGCUUUGGAUAAACUGGCUCAGUUCAGCAGGAACAGGAGUCUGGCCUUCUCCUGGAGACACCUGCC
rnacentral:precursor_RNA from 12 species